UGGAACUGGGACCUAAAGCCGAC
rnacentral:piRNA from 1 species